rnacentral:rRNA from 1 species
GAUGAACGCUGGCGGCGUGCCUAAUACAUGCAAGUCGAGCGAACGGACGAGAAGCUUGCUUCUCUUAUGUUAGCGGCGGACGGGUGAGUAACACGUGGAUAACCUACCUAUAAGACUGGGAUAACUUCGGGAAACCGGAGCUAAUACCGGAUAAUAUUUUUAACCGCAUGGUUCAAAAGUGAAAGACGGUCUUGCUGUCACUUAUAGAUGUAUCCGCGCUGCAUUAGCUAGUUGGUAAGGUAACGGCUUACCAAGGCAACGAUGCAUAGCCGACCUGAGAGGGUGAUCGGCAACACUGGAACUGAGAAACGGUCCAGACUCCUACGGGAGGAAGCAGUAGGGAAUCUUCCGAAAUGGGCGAAAGCCUGACGGAGCAACGCCGCGUGAGUGAUGAAGGUCUUCGGAUCGUAAAACUCUGUUAUUAGGGAAGAACAUAUGUGUAAGUAACUGUGCACAUCGUGACGGUACCUAAUCAGAAAGCCACGGCUAACUACGUG